rfam:Papio anubis isolate 1X1155 chromosome 20, whole genome shotgun sequence.
AAUACAGUAUAAGUAUUUUCCAGGCAAUAUUUGGAACAUACUUAUACUAAAU